rnacentral:piRNA from 1 species
UAAUCACAUACGAACUCACACUGGA